rnacentral:rRNA from 1 species
GUGAGGAAUAUUGGUCAAUGGGCGAGAGCCUGAACCAGCCAAGUAGCGUGAGGGAUGACUGCCCUAUGGGUUGUAAACCUCUUUUGCAGGGGGGUAAAGUGGUUCACGUGUGGACCAUUGCAAGUACCCUGCGAAUAAGGAUCGGCUAACUCCGUGCCAGCAGCCGCGGUAAUACGGAGGAUCCGAGCGUUAUCCGGAUUUAUUGGGUUUAAAGGGAGCGUAGGCGGGGGUUUAAGUCAGCUGUGAAAUGCCGUGGCCCAACCAUGGAACUGCAGUUGAAACUGGACCUCUUAAGAGUACAUAAGGAAGGCGGAAUUCGUGGUGUAGCGGUGAAAUGCAUAGAUAUCACGAAGAACUCCGAUUGCGAAGGCAGCUUUCCGGGGUACAUCUGACGCUGAAGCUCGAAAGUGCGGGAAUCAAACAGGAUUAGAAACCCGGGUAGUCC